UACCGGCAGUCCGAGUGAUGGCCGAUCUUAUUGGGCGUAAAGCGCGCGCAGGCGGUCUUUUAAGUCUGAUGUGAAAUCUCGGGGCUCAACCGCAAGCGGUCAUUGGAAACUGGGGGACUUGAGUACAGAAGAGGAGAGCGGAAUUCCACGUGUAGCGGUGAAAUGCGUAGAUAUGUGGAGGAACACCAGUGGCGAAGGCGGCUCUCUGGUCUGUAACUGACGCUGAGGCGCGAAAGCGUGGGGAGCAAACAGG
rnacentral:misc_RNA from 1 species